rnacentral:rRNA from 2 species
UAAGCAUAUCAAUAAGCGGAGGAAAAGAAACUAACAAGGAUUCCCCUAGUAACUGCGAGUGAAGCGGGAAAAGCUCAAAUUUAAAAUCUGGCGGUCUUAUGGCCGUCCGAGUUGUAGUCUGGAGAAGUGCUUUCCGCGCUGGACCGUGUACAAGUCUCUUGGAACAGAGCGUCAUAGAGGGUGAGAAUCCCGUCUUUGACACGGACUACCAGUGCUUUGUGAUGUGCUCUCAAAGAGUCGAGUUGUUUGGGAAUGCAGCUCAAAAUGGGUGGUAAAUUCCAUCUAAAGCUAAAUAUUGGCGAGAGACCGAUAGCGAACAAGUACCGUGAGGGAAAGAUGAAAAGCACUUUGGAAAGAGAGUUAAACAGUACGUGAAAUUGCUGAAAGGGAAACGCUUGAAGUCAGUCGCGUUGGCCAGGACUCAGCCUUGCUUUUGCUUGGUGCAUUUUCUGGUUGACGGGCCAGCAUCGAUUUUGACCAUUGGAAAAAGAUUAGGGGAAUGUGGCACCUUCGGGUGUGUUAUAGCCCUUAGUCACAUACAGUGGUUGGGAUCGAGGACCGCAGCACGCCUUUAUUGGCCGGGGUUCGCCCACGUUCGUGCUUAGGAUGCUGGCGUAAUGGCUUUAAACGACCCGUCUUGAAACACGGACCAAGGAGUCUAACAUGCCUGCGAGUGUUUGGGUGGAAAACCCGAGCGCGUAAUGAAAGUGAAAGUUGAGAUCCUUGUCAUGGGGAGCAUCGACGCCCGGACCUGAACUUCGGUGAUGGAUCUGCGGUAGAGCAUGUAUGUUGGGACCCGAAAGAUGGUGAACUAUGCCUGAAUAGGGUGAAGCCAGAGGAAACUCUGGUGGAGGCUCGUAGCGAUUCUGACGUGCAAAUCGAUCGUCAAAUUUGGGUAUAGGGGCGAAAGACUAAUCGAACCAUCUAGUAGCUGGUUCCUGCCG